rnacentral:ncRNA from 21 species
UACCUGGUUGAUCCUGCCAGUAGUCAUA